UACGUAGGGUGCGAGCGUUGUCCGGAAUUAUUGGGCGUGAAGGGCUCGUAGGCGGUCUGUUACGUCGGGAGUGAAAACUCGGGGCUCAACCCCGAGCCUGCUUCCGAUACGGGCAGACUAGAGGUAUGCAGGGGAGAAUGGAAUUCCUGGUGUAGCGGUGAAAUGCGCAGAUAUCAGGAGGAACACCGGUGGCGAAGGCGGUUCUCUGGGCUGACACUGACGCUCAUGCACGAAAGCGUGGGGAGCAAUCAGG
rnacentral:rRNA from 1 species